UACAGAGGGGGCAAGCGUUGUUCGGAAUUACUGGGCGUAAAGGGCGCGUAGGCGGCCCGCUAAGUCGAACGUGAAAUCCCCGGGCUCAACCCGGGAACUGCGUCCGAUACUGGCAGGCUUGAAUUCGGGAGAGGGAUGCGGAAUUCCAGGUGUAGCGGUGAAAUGCGUAGAUAUUCGGAAGAACACCAGUGGCGAAGGCGGCUCACUGGACCGGCAUUGACGCUGAGGUGCGAAAGCGUGGGGAGCAAACAGG
rnacentral:rRNA from 1 species